rnacentral:rRNA from 1 species
UGGGGAAUAUUGGACAAUGGGCGCAAGCCUGAUCCAGCCAUGCCGCGUGAGUGAAGAAGGCCUUAGGGUUGUAAAUCUCUUUCACCGGUGAAGAUGAUGACGGUAGCCGGAGAAGAAGCCCCGGCUAACUCCGUGCCAGCAGCCGCGGUAAUACGGAGGGGGCGAGCGUUGUUCGGAAUUACUGGGCGUAAAGGGCGCGUAGGCGGGCCAUCCAGUCAGGGGUGAAAGUCCUGGGCUCAACCUGGGGACUGCCUUUGAAACUGAUGGUCUCGAGUCCGGGAGAGGAUGGCGGAAUUCCCAGUGUAGAGGUGAAAUUCGUAGAUAUUGGGAAGAACACCGGUGGCGAAGGCGGCCAUCUGGACCGGCACUGACGCUGAGGCGCGAAAGCGUGGGGAGCAAACAGGAUUAGAUACCCCCGUAGUCC